UCGUGAAGAAUUUUUCAGUUGAACUAAUUGGCAAAUCAAAUAUGAAUAUACUUUAUAACAAUUCUGAAAAUUGUUUGUUCUGAUGACAGGCUUUUCCAGAGGAACUGUUUUCUGUGCUCCGUACAGUGCAUCUCCUGAGAGGACUUAGUGUUGGUCUGGGAAUUAAUUUUUCAUGUGCCGAGCAGUGGAGACCCAUUGCUGAAGAAGUUCUGUAUGUUGCUGGAAGACUUGCAGCUAAAGAUCUGAAGCAAGUGCAUAGACGUGGAGCUUCUAGAAGAAGAUUUUGGAGAUAAGUAUUUAAUGUAUGGAAAUGAUCAGUAUGAGCCUACCUGGAAUAUGGUAUUUAUUGUAAUUUAUCCUAGUCAAGUUGAUGUCCUUAGCUGCAUCCUUGUCAUGAAAAUUCAAUUACAGAUUUUGCCUUUUGAGUUGUAUUGGAUUAGAAGUAUUGUCAAAUAACAUUGACUACUAACAGUAGUCUUUCAGGAAUAUUUGUUAGUUUCUAUCUUGAUUUUGUUUUGGUUCCUCAAAGUCGGAUGGAAAAUGUGACUCUGCGCUUGAAGGGAAAAAAAUUGGCCAGCGUUUUGUGUUUCUCCAUAUUUUCUACUACUGUGGACAAACAACUGUUAGCAUUUCUUGCUCAUGCAGCUAUGAGUCUGUAACUAGGAAUGUACUCGGGAUUUCUUCGUUGCAUCUUUAGAUGCUGGUGUUUGAGUCUUGAAGUGGUAUCAACUUGGUUUAGGCCUUGAAAAAUGGUUUUGCUUGUACUUAACUGAAAUUGGAAGUUAAGGUUAAGUUCAAAUGUUUGCAGAUGUU